rnacentral:rRNA from 1 species
GACGGUAGGGCGCGAGCGUUGUCCGGAUUUAUUGGGCGUAAAGAGCUCGUAGGCGGCUUGUCGCGUCGACUGUGAAAUCCCGCGGCUCAACUGCGGGUCUGCAGCCGAUACGGGCAGACUUGAGUUCGGUAGGGGAGACUGGAAUUCCUGGUGUAGCGGUGAAAUGCGCAGAUAUCAGGAGGAACACCGGUGGCGAAGGCGGGUCUCUGGGCCGAUACUGACGCUGAGGAGCGAAAGCCGUGGGGAGCGAACAGG